rnacentral:rRNA from 1 species
GACGAACGCUGGCGGCGUGCCUAAUACAUGCAAGUAGGACGCAGUUGCGAACGGGGGAGUAACGCGUAGGUAACUACCUAUUAGAGGGGGGUAACUAUUGGAAACGCUAGCUAAUACCGCAUACUAGUAGAUGGACCUGCGUUGGAUUAGCUAGUAGGUAGGGUAAUGGACUACCUAGGCAACGAUACAUAGCCGAGUCGAGAGGGGGAUCGGGCAACAGUGGACGGAGAAACGGCCCAGACUCCUACGGGAGGCAGCAGUAGGGAAUCUGCGGCAAUGGGGGGAACCCUGACCGAGCAAUGCCGCGGGAGUGAAGAAGGUUUUCGGAUCGGAAAGCUCUGUUGUUAAGGAAGCGGUACUUAACCAGAAAGGGACGGCUAACUACGUGCCAGCAGCCGCGGUAAUAC